rnacentral:rRNA from 1 species
AUUUAUUUAAUCCUGGUUGUAGGAGGUUGGGAAUAUCGUUUCGCAUAGGAAUGUUGUGUUUUUUGUGUUUGGAUGGGUUUGUUCCGUUGGCUAGUGAGUGGGUUUCAGUGUUUUGAUGUGAGUCAGACUGAGUUAUUUCCAAAGAGUGGUUAAUUCGCAGUGCCAGCAUCCGCGGUUAUUCUGCAGCUUUAUCUCCAUGUUGGUUUAAAGUUUUCUUAAGUUAUUGUGGGAGUUGGGGUGAAAUUGUUUCCCGGUUUAGAUGAUCUUAAGAGGUGUUUGAGUUUUUGGUAGAGAAAAGGAUUAGAGACCCUUGUAUUCUGAAAUUUAAAUUUGUGUCCACGAUUUGGUAAUUGAAAGGAUUUGGCAGCUGGUGAUUUUCUUCCGGGGGAGUGUGUGCGUUAAAAGAUGGUCCGCUUAUGAUCCUACCAUUAUAGUGGUUAGUGUACAUCCGGUUUGAUAUUCUUAAUUAGAGUUCAGGGUGGAAUUGUUAUUUAUUUAAGCCAGGUCUAUGUGCUGCUUAUGAUGGUUUGCGUGCACUACAUUAUAAAGUUUGUAAUUGUCAUUAUUGCUUUAUUUAGGACUCGGGAGUAGGUGGUGUUUAGUUUGCAUUGUCGAAGUAAGAUUUAGCUAGGGUACACACCGCCCGUCACCCAUGGCGUAAGCUGUGGUAAGUCGUAACAUGGUAGCGUUAGAUGAAUCUGUCGCUAGUUGGCUGAUGUGUUUAUUGUUGGUCU